rnacentral:rRNA from 1 species
GUCUUAAUUGGGCGUUAAGUUGCAGGGUAUAGACCCGAAACCCGGUGAUCUAGCCAUGGGCAGGUUGAAGGUUGGGUAACACUAACUGGAGGACCGAACCGACUAAUGUUGAAAAAUUAGCGGAUGACCUGUGGCUGGGGGUGAAAGGCCAAUCAAACCGGGAGAUAGCUGGUUCUCCCCGAAAGCUAUUUAGGUAGCGCCUCGUGAAUUCAUCUCCGGGGGUAGAGCACUGUUUCGGCUAGGGGGCCAUCCCGGCUUACCAACCCGAUGCAAACUGCGAAUACCGGAGAAUGUUAUCACGGGAGACACACGGCGGGUGCUAACGUCCGUCGUGAAGAGGGAAACAACCCAGACCGCCAGCUAAGGUCCCAAAGUCAUGGUUAAGUGGGAAACGAUGUGGGAAGGCCCAGACAGCCAGGAUGUUGGCUUAGAAGCAGCCAUCAUUUAAAGAAAGCGUAAUAGCUCACUGGUCGAGUCGGCCUGCGCGGAAGAUGUAACGGGGCUAAACCAUGCACCGAAGCUGCGGCAGCGACGCUGAUGCGUUGUUGGGUAGGGGAGCGUUCUGUAAGCCUGCGAAGGUGGCCUGUGAGGGUUGCUGGAGGUAUCAGAAGUGCGAAUGCUGACAUAAGUAACGAUAAAGCGGGUGAAAAGCCCGCUCGCCGGAAGACCAAGGGUUCCUGUCCAACGUUAAUCGGGGCAGGGUGAGUCGACCCCUAAGGCGAGGCCGAAAGGCGUAGUCGAUGGGAAACGGGUUAAUAUUCCCGUACUUGGUGUUACUGCGAAGGGGGGACGGAGAAGGCUAUGUUGGCCGGGCGACGGUUGUCCCGGUUUAAGCGUGUAGGUGUGUGUUCCAGGUAAAUCCGGUUCACUUUAACACUGAGGCGUGAUGACGAGGCACUACGGUGCUGAAGCAACAAAUGCCCUGCUUCCAGGAAAAGCCUCUAAGCAUCAGGUAACAUCAAAUCGUACCCCAAACCGACACAGGUGGUCAGGUAGAGAAUACCAAGGCGCUUGAGAGAACUCGGGUGAAGGAACUAGGCAAAAUGGUGCCGUAACUUCGGGAGAAGGCACGCUGACACGUAGGUGAAGUGAUUUACUCAUGGAGCUGAAGUCAGUCGAAGAUACCAGCUGGCUGCAACUGUUUAUUAAAAACACAGCACUGUGCAAACACGAAAGUGGACGUAUACGGUGUGACGCCUGCCCGGUGCCGGAAGGUUAAUUGAUGGGGUCAGCGCAAGCGAAGCUCCUGAUCGAAGCCCCGGUAAACGGCGGCCGUAACUAUAACGGUCCUAAGGUAGCGAAAUUCCUUGUCGGGUAAGUUCCGACCUGCACGAAUGGCGUAAUGAUGGCCAGGCUGUCUCCACCCGAGACUCAGUGAAAUUGAACUCGCUGUGAAGAUGCAGUGUACCCGCGGCAAGACGGAAAGACCCCGUGAACCUUUACUAUAGCUUGACACUGAACAUUGAGCCUUGAUGUGUAGGAUAGGUGGGAGGCUUUGAAGUGUGGACGCCAGUCUGCAUGGAGCCGACCUUGAAAUACCACCCUUUAAUGUUUGAUGUUCUAACGUGGACCCGUGAUCCGGGUUGCGGACAGUGUCUGGUGGGUAGUUUGACUGGGGCGGUCUCCUCCUAAAGAGUAACGGAGGAGCACGAAGGUUGGCUAAUCCUGGUCGGACAUCAGGAGGUUAGUGCAAUGGCAUAAGCCAGCUUGACUGCGAGCGUGACGGCGCGAGCAGGUGCGAAAGCAGGUCAUAGUGAUCCGGUGGUUCUGAAUGGAAGGGCCAUCGCUCAACGGAUAAAAGGUACUCCGGGGAUAACAGGCUGAUACCGCCCAAGAGUUCAUAUCGACGGCGGUGUUUGGCACCUCGAUGUCGGCUCAUCACAUCCUGGGGCUGAAGUAGGUCCCAAGGGUAUGGCUGUUCGCCAUUUAAAGUGGUACGCGAGCUGGGUUUAGAACGUCGUGAGACAGUUCGGUCCCUAUCUGCCGUGGGCGCUGGAGAACUGAGGGGGGCUGCUCCUAGUACGAGAGGACCGGAGUGGACGCAUCACUGGUGUUCGGGUUGUCAUGCCAAUGGCACUGCCCGGUAGCUAAAUGCGGAAGAGAUAAGUGCUGAAAGCAUCUAAGCACGAAACUUGCCCCGA